rnacentral:rRNA from 1 species
AAAAAAUACAAAUAAAUNNUUUAGAUGUAAUUAAAUUAAUUAAAUAAAAAAUAAAUAUAAAUUUGUUAGGUGAAAUUUUAAAUUUAAAUAUUUUUUAUAUUUACAAAAUUGAAGUUAAAAAAUUUUUAAAAUAAACUAGGAUUUGAUACCCUAUUAUUAAAAGCAUGUUUAAAAAAUUUAAAGUAGUAAUAGUUAAAGACUUGAAACUUAAAGAAUUUGGCGGUAUUUUAAUCUAUUCAGAGGAACCUGUUUUAUAAUCGAUAGUCCUCGUUUUACUUUACUUAGUUUUGUUUUCAACAUGUAUACCGCUGUCAUCAGAAUGUCUUAUAAGAGAAAAAAUUUUCUAUAAACUAAAUUAAGUUAUAUGUCAAGUCAAGGUGCAGUUUAUGAUUAAGUAAAAAUGGGUUACAAUAAAUUUAUUUAUAUGAACAAUUAAUUGUAAAAUUAAUUAGAAAGUGGAUUUGAUAGUAAAUUAAUUUUAUAAUAAUUAAUUGAUUUUAGCUCUAAAAUAUGUACACAUCGCCCGUCGCUCUCGUUAUUAAAGUGAGAU